rnacentral:rRNA from 1 species
CCUACGGGUGGCAGCAGUGGGGAAUAUUGGGCAAUGGGCGCAAGCCUGACCCAGCAACGCCGCGUGAGGGAAGAAGGCUUUCGGGUUGUAAACUUCUUUUCUGAGGGACGAAGAAAGUGACGGUACCUCAGGAAUAAGCCACGGCUAACUACGUGCCAGCAGCCGCGGUAAUACGUAGGUGGCAAGCGUUAUCCGGAUUUAUUGGGUGUAAAGGGCGGGUAGGCGGGAAAGCAAGUCAGAUGUGAAAACUCAGGGCUCAACCCUGAGCCUGCAUUUGAAACUGUUUUUCUUGAGUGCUGGAGAGACAAUCGGCAUUCCAUGUGUAGCGGUGAAAUCCUUAGAUAUCCGGAGGAACACCAGUGGCGAAGGCGGAUUGCUGGACAGUAACUGACGCUGAGGCGCGAAAGCGUGGGGAGCAAACAGGAUUAGAUACCCUUGUAGUC